rnacentral:rRNA from 1 species
CCUACGGGAGGCAGCAGUGAGGAAUAUUGGUCAAUGGACGAGAGUCUGAACCAGCCAAGUAGCGUGAAGGAUGACUGCCCUGUGGGUUGUAAACUUCUUUUAUAUGGGAAUAAAAUGUUCCACGUGUGGGAUUUUGUAUGUACCAUAUGAAUAAGGAUCGGCUAACUCCGUGCCAGCAGCCGCGGUAAUACGGAGGAUCCGAGCGUUAUCCGGAUUUAUUGGGUUUAAAGGGAGCGUAGGUGGAUUGUUAAGGCAGUUGUGAAAGUUUGCGGCUCAACCGUAACAUUGCAGUUGAAACUGGCAGUCUUGAGUACAGUAGAGGUGGGCGGAAUUCGUGGUGUAGCGGUGAAAUGCUUAGAUAUCACGAAGAACUCCGAUUGCGAAGGCAGUUCACUGGACUGCAACUGACACUGAGGCUCGAAAGUGUGGGUAUCAAACAGGAUUAGAUACCCCAGUAGUC